rnacentral:rRNA from 1 species
AUUCCCCUAGUACGGCGAGUGAGAGGGAAGAGCCCAAGAUUGAAAGCUGGCGUCUUCGGCGUCCGCAUUGUAAUCUCAAGAAGUGUUUUCCGCUUCGGACCAAGCCUAAGUCCCUUGGAAAAGGGCAUCAUAGAGGGUGAUAAUCCCGUACAUGGCUUGGAGCGCCCGAAGCUUUGUGAUACGCUUUCUAAGAGUCGAGUUGUUUGGGAAUGCAGCUCAAAAUGGGUGGUAAAUGCCAUCUAAGGCUAAAUAUUGGGGAGAGACCGAUAGCGAACAAGUACAGUGAUGGAAAGAUGAAAAGAACUUUGAAAAGAGAGUUAAACAGUACGUGAAAUUGCCAAAAGGGAAGGGUAGGAGGUCAGAGAUGCGGCCUGGGAUUCAGCCUUGCUUUUGCUUGGUGUUUUUCCCAGAUUGCAGGCCAACGUCGGUUUUGGGCACUGGAGAAGGGUAGGAGGAACGUGGCACCUCUCGGGGUGUGUUAUAGCCUCCUACUGGAUACAGCGACCGAGACCGAGGACAGCAGCGUACUCGCAAGAGCGGGCCUUCGGGCACCUUUACGCUUAGGGCGUU